rnacentral:rRNA from 1 species
AUUGAACGCUGGCGGCAUGCUUUACACAUGCAAGUCGAACGGUAACAGGCCGCAAGGUGCUGACGAGUGGCGAACGGGCGAGUAAUGCAUCGGAACGUGCCCAGUCGUGGGGGAUAACGCAGCGAAAGCUGUGCUAAUACCGCAUACGAUCUAUGGAUGAAAGCGGGGGACCGUAAGGCCCCGCGCGAUUGGAGCGGCCGAUGUCAGAUUAGGUAGUUGGUGGGGUAAAGGCCCACCAAGCCAACGAUCUGUAGCUGGUCUGAGAGGACGACCAGCCACACUGGGACUGAGACACGGCCCAGACUCCUACGGGAGGCAGCAGUGGGGAAUUUUGGACAAUGGGCGCAAGCCUGAUCCAGCAAUGCCGCGUGCAGGAAGAAGGCCUUCGGGUUGUAAACUGCUUUUGUACGGAACGAAACGGUCUGGGUUAAUACCUCGGGCUAAUGACGGUACCGUAAGAAUAAGCACCGGCUAACUACGUGCCAGCCGCCGCCGUAAGAC